GUGAACUCGAAGAGUAGGGCGGGACACGUGGUAUCCUGUCUGAAUAUGGGGGGACCAUCCUCCAAGGCUAAAUACUCCUGACUGACCGAUAGUGAACCAGUACCGUGAGGGAAAGGCGAAAAGAACCCCGGCGAGGGGAGUGAAAAAGAACCUGAAACCGUGUACGUACAAGCAGUGGGAGCACCUUCGGGUGUGACUGCGUACCUUUUGUAUAAUGGGUCAGCGACUUAUAUUCUGUAGCAAGGUUAACCGUAUAGGGGAGCCGCAGGGAAACCGAGUCUUAACUGGGCGUUAAGUUGCAGGGUAUAGACCCGAAACCCGGUGAUCUAGCCAUGGGCAGGUUGAAGGUUGGGUAACACUAACUGGAGGACCGAACCGACUAAUGUUGAAAAAUUAGCGGAUGACUUGUGGCUGGGGGUGAAAGGCCAAUCAAACCGGGAGAUAGCUGGUUCUCCCCGAAAGCUAUUUAGGUAGCGCCUCGUGAACUCAUCUUCGGGGGUAGAGCACUGUUUCGGCUAGGGGGUCAUCCCGACUUACCAACCCGAUGCAAACUACGAAUACCGAAGAAUGUUAUCACGGGAGACACACGGCGGGUGCUAACGUCCGUCGUGAAGAGGGAAACAACCCAGACCGCCAGCUAAGGUCCCAAAGUCAUGGUUAAGUGGGAAACGAUGUGGGAAGGCACAGACAGCCAGGAUGUUGGCUUAGAAGCAGCCAUCAUUUAAAGAAAGCGUAAUAGCUCACUGGUCGAGUCGGCCUGCGCGGAAGAUGUAACGGGGCUAAACCAUGCACCGAAGCUGCGGCAGCGACACUAUGUGUUGUUGGGUAGGGGAGCGUUCUGUAAGCCUGCGAAGGUGNUGCUGGAGGUAUCAGAAGUGCGAAUGCUGACAUAAGUAACGAUAAAGCGGGUGAAAAGCCCGCUCGCCGGAAGACCAAGGGUUCCUGUCCAACGUUAAUCGGGGCAGGGUGAGUCGACCCCUAAGGCGAGGCCGAAAGGCGUAGUCGAUGGGAAACAGGUUAAUAUUCCUGUACUUGGUGUUACUGCGAAGGGGGGACGGAGAAGGCUAUGUUAGCCGGGCGACGGUUGUCCCGGUUUAAGCAUGUAGGCUGGUUGUCCAGGCAAAUCCGGAUAAUCAAGGCUGAGGUGUGAUGACGAGGCACUACGGUGCUGAAGUAACAAAUGCCCUGCUUCCAGGAAAAGCCUCUAAGCAUCAGGUAACAUUAAAUCGUACCCCAAACCGACACAGGUGGUCAGGUAGAGAAUACCAAGGCGCUUGAGAGAACUCGGGUGAAGGAACUAGGCAAAAUGGUGCCGUAACUUCGGGAGAAGGCACGCUGGUGUGUAGGUGAAGCCCCUGCGGGUGGAGCUGAGACCAGUCGAAGAUACCAGCUGGCUGCAACUGUUUAUUAAAAACACAGCACUGUGCAAACACGAAAGUGGACGUAUACGGUGUGACGCCUGCCCGGUGCCGGAAGGUUAAUUGAUGGGGUUAUCCGUAAGGAGAAGCUCUUGAUCGAAGCCCCGGUAAACGGCGGCCGUAACUAUAACGGUCCUAAGGUAGCGAAAUUCCUUGUCGGGUAAGUUCCGACCUGCACGAAUGGCGUAAUGAUGGCCAGGCUGUCUCCACCCGAGACUCAGUGAAAUUGAACUCGCUGUGAAGAUGCAGUGUACCCGCGGCAAGACGGAAAGACCCCGUGAACCUUUACUAUAGCUUGACACUGAACAUUGAGCCUUGAUGUGUAGGAUAGGUGGGAGGCUUUGAAGCGUGGACGCCAGUCUGCGUGGAGCCAACCUUGAAAUACCACCCUUUAAUGUUUGAUGUUCUAACGUUGGCCCCUGACCGGGGUUGCGGACAGUGUCUGGUGGGUAGUUUGACUGGGGCGGUCUCCUCCCAAAGCGUAACGGAGGAGCACGAAGGUUAGCUAAUCCUGGUCGGACAUCAGGAGGUUAGUGCAAUGGCAUAAGCUAGCUUGACUGCGAGCGUGACGGCGCGAGCAGGUGCGAAAGCAGGUCAUAGUGAUCCGGUGGUUCUGAAUGGAAGGGCCAUCGCUCAACGGAUAAAAGGUACUCCGGGGAUAACAGGCUGAUACCGCCCAAGAGUUCAUAUCGACGGCGGUGUUUGGCACCUCGAUGUCGGCUCAUCACAUCCUGGGGCUGAAGUAGGUCCCAAGGGUAUGGCUGUUCGCCAUUUAAAGUGGUACGCGAGCUGGGUUUAGAACGUCGUGAGACAGUUCGGUCCCUAUCUGCCGUGGGCGCUGGAGAAUUGAGGGGGGCUGCUCCUAGUACGAGAGGACCGGAGUGGACGCAUCACUGGUGUUCGGGUUGUCAUGCCAAUGGCACUGCCCGGUAGCUAAAUGCGGAAGAGAUAAGUGCUGAAAGCAUCUAAGCACGAAACUUGCCCCGAGAUGAGUUCUCCCUGAGACUUUAAGUCUCCUGAAGGAACGUU
rnacentral:rRNA from 1 species